rnacentral:rRNA from 1 species
AGAAUGAACGCUGGCGGCAGGCCUAACACAUGCAAGUCGAACGGGUCCUUCGGGACUAGUGGCGGACGGGUGAGUAACGCGUGGGAACGUGCCCUUUGGCUCGGAAUAGCCUCGGGAAACUGGGAGUAAUACCGGAUAAGCCCUUCGGGGGAAAGAUUUAUCGCCAAAGGAUCGGCCCGCGUUGGAUUAGGUAGUUGGUGGGGUAAUGGCCUACCAAGCCGACGAUCCAUAGCUGGUUUGAGAGGAUGAUCAGCCACACUGGGACUGAGACACGGCCCAGACUCCUACGGGAGGCAGCAGUGGGGAAUCUUAGACAAUGGGGGAAACCCUGAUCUAGCCAUGCCGCGUGAUCGAUGAAGGCCUUAGGGUUGUAAAGUAUCUUUCAGUGGGGAAGAUAAUGACGGUACCACAGAAGAAGCCCCGCUAACCUCCGUCGCCAGCACGGCCGAC